UACAGAGGUCCCAAGCGUUGUUCGGAUUCACUGGGCGUAAAGGGUGCGUAGGUGGCUUGGUAAGUUUGAUGUGAAAUCUCCGGGCUUAACCCGGAAAUGGCAUUGAAUACUAUUGAGCUGGAGGUUUGGAGGGGGGUAGAAUUCCACGUGUAGCAGUGAAAUGCGUAGAUAUGUGGAGGAACACCGAUGGCGAAGGCAGCCCCCCUGGGUCAAGAUUGACGCUCAUGCACGAAAGCGUGGGGAGCAAACAGG
rnacentral:rRNA from 1 species